UUUGAUUCUGGCUCAGGACGAACGCGGGCGGCGUGCUUAACACAUGCAAGUCGAACGGAAAGGCCCUUCGGGGUACUCGAGUGGCGAACGGGUGAGUAACACGUGGGUGAUCUGCCCUGCACUUUGGGAUAAGCCUGGGAAACUGGGUCUAAUACCGAAUAUGACCACGCGCUUCAUGGUGUGUGGUGGAAAGCUUUUGCGGUGUGGGAUGGGCCCGCGGCCUAUCAGCUUGUUGGUGGGGUAAUGGCCUACCAAGGCGACGACGGGUAGCCGGCCUGAGAGGGUGACCGGCCACACUGGGACUGAGAUACGGCCCAGACUCCUACGGGAGGCAGCAGUGGGGAAUAUUGCACAAUGGGCGCAAGCCUGAUGCAGCGACGCCGCGUGAGGGAUGACGGCCUUCGGGUUGUAAACCUCUUUCAAUAGGGACGAAGCGCAAGUGACGGUACCUAUAGAAGAAGGACCGGCCAACUACGUGCCAGCAGCCGCGGUAAUACGUAGGGUCCGAGCGUUGUCCGGAAUUACUGGGCGUAAAGAGCUCGUAGGUGGUUUGUCGCGUUGUUCGUGAAAACUCACAGCUUAACUGUGGGCGUGCGGGCGAUACGGGCAGACUAGAGUACUGCAGGGGAGACUGGAAUUCCUGGUGUAGCGGUGGAAUGCGCAGAUAUCAGGAGGAACACCGGUGGCGAAGGCGGGUCUCUGGGCAGUAACUGACGCUGAGGAGCGAAAGCGUGGGGAGCGAACAGGAUUAGAUACCCUGGUAGUCCACGCCGUAAACGGUGGGUACUAGGUGUGGGUUUCCUUCCUUGGGAUCCGUGCCGUAGCUAACGCAUUAAGUACCCCGCCUGGGGAGUACGGCCGCAAGGCUAAAACUCAAAGGAAUUGACGGGGGCCCGCACAAGCGGCGGAGCAUGUGGAUUAAUUCGAUGCAACGCGAAGAACCUGUACCUGGGUUUGACAUGCACAGGACGAC
rnacentral:rRNA from 1 species